rnacentral:rRNA from 1 species
UACGUAGGUGGCAAGCGUUGUCCGGAAUUAUUGGGCGUAAAGCGCGCGCAGGCGGUCCUUUAAGUCUGAUGUGAAAAGCCCACGGCUCAACCGUGGAGGGUCAUUGGAAACUGGGGGGACUUGAGUGCAGGAGAGAAGAGUGGAAUUCCACGUGUAGCGGUGAGAUGCGUAGAGAUGUGGAGGAACACCAGUGGCGAAGGCGGGUCUCGUGGACAGAUUCCUGACGCUGAGGCACGAAGGCCAGGGAGCAAACGGG